rnacentral:rRNA from 1 species
GAAAAGCAACUAACGAGGAUUCCCUCAGUAACGGCGAGUGAAGAGGGAAAAGCCCAGCACCGAAGCCUGUGGUUAUUUGAUCAUUAGGCAAUGUGGUGUUCAGGUUGUUCCGCAGAGGUACUGCUCCACCCCAAGUCCAGCAAUGAGUACGGUAGUACGGACAUGGCCCAUUGAGGGUGAAAGGCCCGUUAGGGUGGAGAUUCGGCAGGCCAGUAUCUCUCUGGAUAGACCUUGGAGUCGGGUUGUUUGUGAAUGCAGCCCAAAGUGGGUGGUAAACUCCAUCCAAGGCUAAAUACUAGCACGAGUCCGAUAGCGAACAAGUACCGUGAGGGAAAGUUGAAAAGUACUUUGAAGAGAGAGUAAACAGUGCGUGAAACCGCUCAGAGGUAAGCGGGUGGAGUUGAACUGCAAGCUUCGAGAAUUCAGCUGGUGAGUGUGGUUUGAGCUUGGUCAUAUUGGUUGGACACUGGGGUAUGCUUAGUGGCAUGUCUCUGCCUUCGGGUAGGGAUGCGCGGUGCACUUAUCACGUGUUGCGCGCCCUUUUGUUCGUCAGGCCUACUUGCCAGUGCACUUUCUCGGAGUGGUCACCACGACCGGCGCCGCUGUCUGGCUAUUGUAGUUAAACCGGCCAUAUAGUGUCCCUGUGGCUCUGUAUGGUCGGGACGGCAGGUAGCUCGUUGGCUUGUUCGUAGCUUGCUACGGGCGUUUGGCUUUCGGGUGUAAUCAGCUGACUAUGAUGGUCCUGUGCAGUGCGUCGGAGACGGCGGCUUGUGGUGUGUGCGUGCGUGCCUGUCCUGUUGGCGACUCUGGGCUUGGUCGCUAUGUUGCUUGUUCAAGCAAGCCUAGUGAUGGCUAAGAAUCGUUCUCCAGGCGGUUGCGUGUGUGACACUGUUCCAAGGGCCAAUAGUCUGUGGUGUAGUGGUAGACUAUCCACCCGACCCGUCUUGAAACACGGACCAAGGAGAGUAACAUGUGCGCGAGUCAUUGGGCGUAACGAAACCCACAGGCGCAGUGAAAGUGAAGGCUUGGCUUGUUCAGGCUGAGGUGAGAUCCUGUUGUAUCUCAUGCGCGGUGCCACCAAGCAUCGAGCGGCAGGCGCAUCACCGGCCCGUCCCAUGAUGUAGACACGGUCUUCGGACCCGUGCACCGUCGGGGCGGAGCAUGAGCGUACAUGUUGAGACCCGAAAGAUGGUGAACUAUGCUUGCGCAGGUUGAAGCCAGAGGAAACUCUGGUGGAGGACCGCAGCGAUUCUGACGUGCAAAUCGAUCGUCAAACGUGAGUAUAGGGGCGAAAGACUAAUC